rnacentral:rRNA from 1 species
CAGUCGCCGCGGGAAUACGUAGGGUGCGAGCGUUAAUCGGAAUUAUUGGGCGUAAAGCGCGCGCAGGCGGAUAGGUCAGUCUGUCUUAAAAGUGCGGGGCUCAACCCCGUGAGGGGAUGGAAACUGUAUGCCUUGAGUGCAGGAGAGGAAGGCGGAAUUCCCAGUGUAGCGGUGAAAUGCGUAGAUAUUGGGAGGAACACCAGUGGCGAAGGCUGCUUUCUGGACUGCAACUGACGCUGAGGCUCGAAAGCCAGGGGAGCGAACGGGAUUAGAUACCCCUGUAGUCCCUGUCUCUUAUACA